GGGUCUACCCAUUGGUCAGGCUUAAUUGUCUGCACUGGUGAGAUGGAUCUCUACCUUCUGAGGAACUUUCAUGCCAUUUAUUUAGUGUCUUGGGGAAUCAGGACUGUUACUUUGAAAAAAUUAGAGUGUUUAAAGCAGGCUCACGCUUGAAUACAUUAGCAUGGAAUAACGAAAUAGGACGUUUGAUUCUAUUUUGUUGGUUUCUAGGAUCGACGUA
rnacentral:rRNA from 1 species